GAUGAACGCUGGCGGCGUGCCUAAUACAUGCAAGUCGAGCGAACAGACGAGGAGCUUGCUCCUCUGACGUUAGCGGCGGACGGGUGAGUAACACGUGGAUAACCUACCUAUAAGACUGGGAUAACUUCGGGAAACCGGAGCUAAUACCGGAUAAUAUAUUGAACCGCAUGGUUCAAUAGUGAAAGACGGUUUUGCUGUCACUUAUAGAUGGAUCCGCGCCGCAUUAGCUAGUUGGUAAGGUAACGGCUUACCAAGGCGACGAUGCGUAGCCGACCUGAGAGGGUGAUCGGCCACACUGGAACUGAGACACGGUCCAGACUCCUACGGGAGGCAGCAGUAGGGAAUCUUCCGCAAUGGGCGCAAGCCUGACGGAGCAACGCCGCGUGAGUGAUGAAGGUCUUCAGAUCGUAAAACUCUGUUAUUAGGGAAGAACAAAUGUGUAAGUAACUAUGCACGUCUUGACGGUACCUAAUCAGAAAGCCACGGCUAACUACGUG
rnacentral:rRNA from 1 species